AGGGUCCAACAGGAACAGAGGGUGCUGCCGGAGCCAAAGGACCAUCCGGAGCUCCAGGUAUCCAGGGUCUGACUGGACUGCUUGGCCCCGCGGGGCCCCCCGGACCACAGGGAACCACUGGACUGCCCGGGCCUAAGGGCCAACUGGGUGAUUUAGGCGUUCCCGGAUUCAAAGGAGAGGCUGGAUUCAAAGGAGAAUCUG